CAUCAAAAUAAUUAACUUGUAUAAUAGUUUGAGAUAGGGUCAACUAGUUUCUAGCUACCACCGUAAAUGAGUAGACUACAAGAGAAUAAAAGAU
rnacentral:ncRNA from 1 species